GUUGUCUGUGAAAUAUCAGCUGGUAAUUCUGGGUUGAUGAGAUCCCAGAAUAUCGACUGAUAUUAUCAUAAACAAC